rnacentral:rRNA from 1 species
AUGGCGACCUCCGCGCGUUCCUGCUCCUCCGGCCUUCUCUUGGUCUUCCUCCUCGCCGUGUGUGCGGCCUCGGCCUCGGAGGAGACCGUGCGCGUCACGCCCACCGUGAUUGGGUGCUACCCGGCGGCCACCAACGGCAGCAGCUUCAAUGCGACGGCGUUCCGCGCCAGCCUCCUCCCGCUCCUCGGCGCGCUCCCCUCGGCCGCCGCGCCGACGGGCUUCGCGUCCCUGCGGUCCGACCGCACGCUCGCCCGCGGGGUCUGCUUCGGCGACGCCGCGCCGUCAGACUGCCUCGCGUGCCUGUCCGCGCUGGCCAAGAACCUGACCGACGGCUGCGGCGCCGCCACCACCCGGCUCGCCGGCGUCUGGAACGACGGCUGCUUCGUGUCGUACGCCGACACCGUCGCCCCCUCGGCCACCACACUGCUCUCCACUGCGCUGGUGCCUCGCAGCGAACCCAGCGACACCAACGACUCCAACGGCUUCAUCAACCUUACUCUCGUUCUCCUCUACGCCCUUGUAGCGAUGCAGUUCGUCAACCUGAUGCUGACAAUCACUAAUGCUUUCAACUGA